rnacentral:rRNA from 1 species
GACGAACGCUUGCGGCGUGCUUAACACAUGCAAGUCGAACGGAAAGGCCCUGCUUUUGUGGGGUGCUCGAGUGGCGAACGGGUGAGUAACACGUGAGUAACCUGCCCUUGACUUUGGGAUAACUUCAGGAAACUGGGGCUAAUACCGGAUAGGAGCUCCUGCUGCAUGGUGGGGGUUGGAAAGUUUCGGCGGUUGGGGAUGGACUCGCGGCUUAUCAGCUUGUUGGUGGGGUAGUGGCUUACCAAGGCUUUGACGGGUAGCCGGCCUGAGAGGGUGACCGGCCACAUUGGGACUGAGAUACGGCCCAGACUCCUACGGGAGGCAGCAGUGGGGAAUAUUGCACAAUGGGCGGAAGCCUGAUGCAGCAACGCCGCGUGCGGGAUGACGGCCUUCGGGUUGUAAACCGCUUUCGCCUGUGACGAAGCGUGAGUGACGGUAAUGGGUAAAGAAGCACCGGCUAACUACGUGCCAGCAGCCGCGGUGAUACGUAGGGUGCGAGCGUUGUCCGGAUUUAUUGGGCGUAAAGGGCUCGUAGGUGGUUGAUCGCGUCGGAAGUGUAAUCUUGGGGCUUAACCCUGAGCGUGCUUUCGAUACGGGUUGACUUGAGGAAGGUAGGGGAGAAUGGAAUACCUGGUGGAGCGGUGGAAUGCGCAGAUACCAGGAGGAACACCAGUGGCGAAGGCGGUUCUCUGGGCCUUUCCUGACGCUGAGGGGCGAAAGCGUGGGGAGCGAACAGGCUUAGAUACCCUGGUAGUCCACGCUGUAAACGGUGGGUACUAGGUGUGGGGUCCAUUCCACGGGUUCCGUGCCGUAGCUAACGCUUUAAGUACCCCGCCUGGGGAGUACGGCCGCAAGGCUAAAACUCAAAGGAAUUGACGGGGCCCCGCACAAGCGGCGGAGCAUGCGGAUUAAUUCGAUGCAACGCGUAGAACCUUACCUGGGUUUGACAUGGAUCGGGAGUGCUCAGAGAUGGGUGUGCCUCUUUUGGGGUCGGUUCACAGGUGGUGCAUGGCUGUCGUCAGCUCGUGUCGUGAGAUGUUGGGUUAAGUCCCGCAACGAGCGCAACCCUUGUUCACUGUUGCCAGCACGUUAUGGUGGGGACUCAGUGGAGACCGCCGGGGUCAACUCGGAGGAAGGUGGGGAUGACGUCAAGUCAUCAUGCCCCUUAUGUCCAGGGCUUCACGCAUGCUACAAUGGCUGGUACAGAGAGUGGCGAGCCUGUGAGGGUGAGCGAAUCUCGGAAAGCCGGUCUCAGUUCGGAUUGGGGUCUGCAACUCGACCUCAUGAAGUCGGAGUCGCUAGUAAUCGCAGAUCAGCAACGCUGCGGUGAAUACGUUCCCGGGGCU